rnacentral:sRNA from 1 species
AUGGAGUGGUCCUUUUCAUUGAUGCUGCUGAGGGGGUGAUGCUGAACACAGAGCGGCUGAUCAAGCAUGCGGUGCAGGAGAGGCUGGCAGUCACUGUGUGCAUCAACAAGAUUGACCGGCUGAUCCUGGAGCUGAAGCUGCCUCCAACUGAUGCUUAUUACAAGCUGCGCCACAUUGUGGAUGAGGUCAAUGGAUUAAUAAGGUAGAAAACCCCUGGGAGUGGAUUUCCUGUCCUCGGAGGCUCUGGGUUUUAACCCUGAAUACCUCUGGGAACAACUGUGAUUUAUUUCUAAGCGUGUGUUGAUGAGUUUGUUGGGCAAAACUAGAGGCACAUCCUGGGACUCUGCAGGGGUUGACUUCAUACUUUAACACAUCUUCAUUUUACUAUUAUGAUCAGUACUUGGGCUGUAUUAAUUUCUUCUCUUUUUAGAGAUAGGAUCUCUGUUACCCAAGCUAGCGUGCAGUGUCACAAUCACAGCUCACUGCAGCCUCGAACUUCUGGG